ACCUGCCCACUGAAAUUUUUAAAAGGCCGCAGUAAUUUGACUGUGCAAAGGUAGCAUAAUAAUUAGUUUUUUAAUUAAAAGCUUGUAUGAAGGGUUGGACGAAGUAAAAUCUGUCUCUAUUUAAAUAAUGUUAGAAUUUAAUUUUUAAGUUAAAAAGCUUAAAUUUUUUUAAAAGACAAGAAGACCCUAUAGAUCUUUAUAUUAUUAUAAAAUAAUUUUAAUUAUGAAUAUUUAAUUUUUUAUUUUAUAUAAUAUUUUAUUGGGGUAAUAAAAAGAUUAUAUAAAUUCUUUUAUUUUAUUUACAUUGAUGAGUGAUUUUUGGUGAUCCAAUUAUUUUGAUUAAUAGAUUAAGUUACCUUAGGGAUAACAGCGUAAUUUUUUUGUAGAGUUCAUAUCGAUAAAAAAGUUUGCGACCUCGAUGUUGGAUUAAAAAUUGUUUUAGGCGUAGAAGUUUAUAAAUUUGGUCUGUUCGACCAUUAAAUUUUU
rnacentral:rRNA from 1 species